UCAGACAGGAAUGACCAGCACCGUAGAGGAAAGGGCUGUGAUAUUUUGCAGCAUGUUGGUUCAGGACCUUGGAGAGUGGCAUAAGCCUAUGUGUUCCCUGUCCCUUUCACUGAGUUCUCUGGCCAACAGUGGGGGUGCUUCUAAAGAUUCUAUGUCAGGCAUCAUAAUAAGAUCCCAAUAACAGAGGUCAGUGGUGCAAGAGUUGCCCUAUUUUACCAUAUGGGAGGGAGGUUACUGAGGCAAUAUGGGAAACGAGGAAUAAGUUACCAGGGGCCUGCGGAAACUAGUGGCACCAAAGUGGACAGACUGAGACCGCAGAUCAGACUGGCAUCAAGAUAACAGCUGGGAAGUGAUUGUGGGUUAAAUAUUCAUGGAUAACUCAUUCCAUUUUCCUUGGGAAUAUACAGAAGACUCUUCCAGGCACUGGCUUAUGCAGCUGUAAAAGAGACAUGUGCUGCCUCUCUCCAGGUAUCCAGAAAAGGCCCUCAUUCCUAAGACAACAAUUCAAGGUCAAGAGAACAAAAAAGAAAUUGAAAAAGCCAAAAAACCAUAAAAUACCUAGGAUUAAAUCUCACAAGACGUCUAUGAAGAUGACUACAAAACUUUAUCGAAGAACGUAAAAGAAGACUUGAAUACCUCAUGCCUGGAUGGAAUAAAGAAUAUCAUAAAGAAGAGAAUCAUCCCCAAAGUAAUCUAUAUAUCCAAUGCAAUUC